rnacentral:rRNA from 1 species
AUUGAACGCUGGCGGCAGGCCUAACACAUGCAAGUCGAACGGUAACAGGAAGCAGCUUGCUGCUUUGCUGACGAGUGGCGGACGGGUGAGUAAUGUCUGGGAAACUGCCUGAUGGAGGGGGAUAACUACUGGAAACGGUGGCUAAUACCGCAUAACGUCGCAAGACCAAAGAGGGGGACCUUCGGGCCUCUUGCCAUCAGAUGUGCCCAGAUGGGAUUAGCUUGUUGGUGAGGUAACGGCUCACCAAGGCGACGAUCCCUAGCUGGUCUGAGAGGAUGACCAGCCACACUGGAACUGAGACACGGUCCAGACUCCUACGGGAGGCAGCAGUGGGGAAUAUUGCACAAUGGGCGCAAGCCUGAUGCAGCCAUGCCGCGUGUAUGAAGAAGGCCUUCGGGUUGUAAAGUACUUUCAGCGGGGAGGAAGGUGUUGCGGUUAAUAACCGCAGCAAUUGACGUUACCCGCAGAAGAAGCACCGGCUAACUCCGUGCCAGCAGCCGCGGUAAUACGGAGGGUGCAAGCGUUAAUCGGAAUUACUGGGCGUAAAGCGCACGCAGGCGGUCUGUCAAGUCGGAUGUGAAAUCCCCGGGCUCAACCUGGGAACUGCAUUCGAAACUGGCAGGCUUGAGUCUUGUAGAGGGGGGUAGAAUUCCAGGUGUAGCGGUGAAAUGCGUAGAGAUCUGGAGGAAUACCGGUGGCGAAGGCGGCCCCCUGGACAAAGACUGACGCUCAGGUGCGAAAGCGUGGGGAGCAAACAGGAUUAGAUACCCUGGUAGUCCACGCCGUAAACGAUGUCUACUUGGAGGUUGUGCCCUUGAGGCGUGGCUUCCGGAGCUAACGCGUUAAGUAGACCGCCUGGGGAGUACGGCCGCAAGGUUAAAACUCAAAUGAAUUGACGGGGGCCCGCACAAGCGGUGGAGCAUGUGGUUUAAUUCGAUGCAACGCGAAGAACCUUACCUGGUCUUGACAUCCACAGAAGAAUCCAGAGAUGGAUUUGUGCCUUCGGGAACUGUGAGACAGGUGCUGCAUGGCUGUCGUCAGCUCGUGUUGUGAAAUGUUGGGUUAAGUCCCGCAACGAGCGCAACCCUUAUCCUUUGUUGCCAGCGGUCCGGCCGGGAACUCAAAGGAGACUGCCAGUGAUAAACUGGAGGAAGGUGGGGAUGACGUCAAGUCAUCAUGGCCCUUACGACCAGGGCUACACACGUGCUACAAUGGCGCAUACAAAGAGAAGCGACCUCGCGAGAGCAAGCGGACCUCAUAAAGUGCGUCGUAGUCCGGAUUGGAGUCUGCAACUCGACUCCAUGAAGUCGGAAUCGCUAGUAAUCGUGGAUCAGAAUGCCACGGUGAAUACGUUCCCGGGCCUUGUACACACCGCCCGUCACACCAUGGGAGUGGGUUGCAAAAGAAGUAGGUAGCUUAACCUUCGGGAGGGCGCUUACCACUUUGUGAUUCAUGACUGGGGUG